rnacentral:lncRNA from 1 species
UUGCAGUUGAGGCUAGGGUUAUGGUUGUAGUUGAGACUAGGGUUAGGGUUAUGGUUGUAGUUGAGGCUAGGGUUAUGGUUGUAUUUGAGACUAGGGUUAGAGUUAUGUUUAUAGUUGAGACUAGGGUUGGGGUUAUGGUUGUAGUUGAGACUAGGGUUAUGGUUGUAGUUGAGGCGAGGCGAGGGUUGGGUUUAUGGUUGUAGUUGAGGUUAGAGUUAUUGUUGUAUUUGAGACUAGGGUUAGAGUUAUGGUUGUAGUUGAGACUAGGGUUGGGGUUAUGGUUGUACUUGAGACUAGGGUUGAGGUUAUGGUUGUAGUUGAGACUACGGUAGGGGUUAUGGUUGUAGUUGUAGUUGAGACUAGGGUUAGGGUUAUGGUUGUAGUUGAGACUAGGGUUAGGGUUAUGGUUGUAGUUGAGACUGGGGUUGGGGUUAUGGCUGUAGUUGUAGUUGAGACUAGGGUUAGGGUUAUUUUUGUAGUUGAGAUUAGGGUUGGGGUUAUGGUUGUAGUUGAGACUAGGGUUGGGUUUAUGGUUGUAGUUGAGACUAGGGUUAGGGUUAUGGUUGUAAUUGUAGUUGAGACUAGGGUUGGGGUUAUGGUUGUAGUUGGGGUUAUGGUUGUAGUUGAGGCUAGGGUUAUGGUUGUAGUUGUAGUUGAGACUAGGGUUAUGGUUAUGGUUGUAGUUGAGGCUAGGGUUAUGGUUGUAGUUGAGGCUAGGGUUGGGGUUAUGGUUGUAGUUGAGGCUAGGGUUGGGGUUAUGGUUGUAGUUGGGGUUAUGGUUGUAGUUGAGGCUAGGGUUAUGUUUGUAGUUGUAGUUGAGACUAGGGUUAUGGUUAUAAUUGUAGUUGAGGCUGGGGUUGGGGUUAUGGUUGUAGUUGAGGCUAGGUUUGGGGUUAUGGUUGUAGUUGAGGCUAGGGUUGGGGUUAUGGUUGUAGUUGUAGUUGAGACUAGGGUUAUGGUUAUGAUUGUAGUUGAGGCUAGGGUUGGAGUUAUGGUUGUAGUUGAGGCAAGGGUUGGUGUUAUGGUUGUAGUUGAGGCUAGGGUUAUGGUUGUAGUUGAGGCUAGGGUUGGGGUUAUGGUUGUAGUUGAGGCUAGGUUUGGGGUUAUGGUUGUAGUUGAGGCUAGGUUUGGGGUUAUGGUUGUAGUUGAGGCUAGGGUUGGGGUUAUGGUUGUAGUUGUAGUUGAGACUAGGGUUAUGGUUAUGAUUGUAGUUGAGGCUAGGGUUGGAGUUAUGGUUGUAGUUGAGGCAAGGGUUGGUGUUAUGGUUGUAGUUGAGGCUAGGGUUAUGGUUGUAGUUGAGACUAGGGUUGGGGUUAUUGUUAUGUUUGUAAUUGAGACUAGGGUUGGGUUUAUGUUUGUAGUUGAGACUAGGGUUAGGGUUUAUGGUUGUAGUUGA